CUCAUAACAUGUUGAAACACCAGUUCUUAUACAAUCACCAAAGUUAAGCAAUGUUAAGCCUGGUCAGUACUUAGAUGGUUGACCACUUGAGAUAACCAGGUGGUGUA